rnacentral:lncRNA from 1 species
UAGUAAACUAACCUACCCCAGUAUGGUAAACAAACCUACCCCUAUUGAUUGUCGGACAACAAAAAGAUUCUUCUCUUCAUGGGUGUGAUCAACUGGUCUAGUAGGUCCGGGCAUCGACUGGUCUCGGGGCCAGGUGCUUUGUCUCGCAUUCAUAGCAGUACCAUCCCAUAUGUAUUGGAUUGAGCUCGAACAUAGGAAGCAAAGUGGCUGGGGGCGUGAAUGAGAAACAACCUCGACAUAGGAGAAUUUCGCUCGAACAUGGGAUGGGAAUCGAUAUACAGAAUUGAGCUCGAACAUAGGAAGCAAAGCAGAGCAGUAAGGAGUGAGUUUAGGGUAGGGUUUCGUUUACUAAAUGACAUAGGUGCGUCGUGCAUAUUCUAUUCCAUUUCUUUCUUUAGAGUCAGCAGUCAGAGGUGUCAGGUUACAUCUUAUUAUAUACAAUAGUGAUUCUCUAUAUUCCUUCUUCAUUAUCUAGAUUCCUUCUUAUAGACUAUAGUAAUAAUUAUCUAGAUUCAAUGAUGGAAUUCAAAGAACAUCGAUUCGGCAACCUUGUUUUCAAGUAAAAGGGAAGAAGCGAGGGUUCGGCUACCUACCCAGUGUUGGGUUCCCUUACCGUCCCGUUAGCGCAUAAAAGAAUUUCUUUACUUGACUCUCUAUCUCGUAUUAACCUAGCUGUCAAUAAAGUUGGGUCAGAAAUGAAGUA